CUAAAAUAACAAGAAAGGAGGUAAAACUGAUUUUAGGGAUUAUGCAAAAGAAAAAAAAAAUGGUGAGAGAGUUGACCAGGUUUGACUUAAGCUUCCAAUUCCAGUCCAAUCACUAUAAUCGUCACUCGUCUGACGUAUGCAGGCAUUUGGAAUUCUGAAAUUUGAAAUUUGAAAUCUCGCUCUCGAAUCGACCGUUGAACCGCCUUAUAGCGGCUAUCUAUCCAUCCAUCUCCCCUCCCAACGGUUCAUUCUCUCUCUCUCUCUGUCUCUGCAAACAGCGCCUGAUCGAUCACUCCUCUCUCUCUCUCCGUCUCUGUGAAUUCUGAUCCUAAAGCCCUAAGCUCACUCUUUCUCUCUCACAUUCUGUUUAAUUGAUUUGGUUUUGUGAGAAUGAGUUCGAAUUUGAAUCUUUUGUCGGAGGUUGCGGUGGUACUCCGGAAUUGGGAGGAAGAGAAAAAGUGGAUUUUUGAUGAAUUUUCUGUUGUUGCAGAUUUCAUCCGUUUCUGUGCUGCCAAGAAAUCGAAAUCUGAUCUUGAUUCCUUCCCGAUCGUUCCGAGCAAGAAACGAUCGUCUCUGAGAAGAAGGCCCAACAAGAAAACAAGUUUUGGGUUUUCGUCAGUCCCCAUCAUCAUUCCCAAGAAGAAGAGGUCGCUGAGAAGGAGGGCAGCCAGAUGUCUGGGUACGACAUCGACAAAUCUGAAAAGGAAGCGGCUUUCUGGGUGUGAAUCUUCUACAUACAACGAUGGGGUUGAAGAGCAGAAGAUCGUUGAUCCGAUCCGUGGUGGUUGAGCACUGACGACCCAGGUUUGCGUGUUGUUCGGUUCAAUUUUGUAGCUUUAUUUUUGGAAGAAUUCAACUUCACUUAUUAGAUUUUACAUGAAACCCUAAUUUCCCCAAGUUUUUGAAAGUGGUCAACGACCCGGCAGUGAAGCACAUGGAUCGAAGAGAAAUAGACAGAUUUUAAUUCUCAUCAUUAUUUGAGGUUUUACAGUGUAGAAUAGCAAAUUGGGUCUUCUCCAAUAACUCCACAUGAUAGGCGUAGUCGUAGGAUGAUCUGCUCCACUACAUACAGAGUCAAGUCGAUUUUGUUCUUCAAUACAACUUCUUCGCAUCUAGGUUAUUCGUAUAUGCAUGUGCCUGACUUUUGCGUCUGCUGACUUUACGGCCUUGCUUUUAGAUGUAUCUCCUUUUGAAAGCGAUGAUAACUGUUGAAUUACUGAAUCUUUUUGCGGCUGCUGAAUAUUUGGUGAAUUUUAUGUUUGGUUUAGAAAUUAGUUUUCAGUUGUGUAAUUCAAUGAGUGAUUGAUUUGUAUGAGUCUAUGAUUCUCGAAACAUUUAGCUGCUGUUUAUCAAGGCACUGUUGUGUUGGAACUCUUGAAGAGACAGUGCCCUAUAUACCAAACAAAAAAGAGUCAGGAACGUUUCACUUGGUUGGUGGAAGUUGAAAAUCUAAAAGGAACCUGUAUUGAGUCUAUUGACCAAUGGCAGUGUAUACAGUCAGAAAAGAUUUACAUCCUCUACAGGUUGCAAUGCUGGGAACAGUAGCCAUCAUUCAGUUUCAAGUGUAAUCUGCCCACCAUUUACAGCGGGUGAGCUUUGCCGGGAACAUUUGGUACGUCAUGUUAUUAACAGUUUUCUGUUUCUGUCACAUUCUUCUUAGGCUUUUAUCUUAAUUGUACUAAGUGGGCCUGUGGUUGCCCCUUGUAAUAGAAAUAACUUGAUUGAAUCUUGCCUAGCAUCUGAACAUUUAGCUUAUAUUCUUUUCCAUUUCAAUUUUCAUAGCUGACCACUUUCUGGAAGUGACUGGAGUGGUAAUGUAAUUGUAAGUUUUACAAUAAAUCUAAUCGAUCAAACUAUUUCGUGAACCUACGUGUUACUGGUUUAAGUUGUAGAUUCAGCUCUUUUGGCAAUGUGGAAAGGUGUUAACUGUUGAUUUUCAAUUAUGAAACUACUUGAUUAAUCGAUUGAAUACUUGAUUGGUGAGUCUACGUUCUUUGAAAGGAUUUAGUUGCAGUUUGUCAAGGCGCAUUUAUUUUUAGAAGACUCUGCCCUGUAUACCAAACAAAUACGAGUCAUAAUGUUUCACUUGGUGGAAGUUGAGAAAAGAAAAAAACAACCUGUUUUGGUCAGUGGUAGCAUUGUAUGUGUCUGUGGGGGUGAAGCAUACACAGAUAGAAUAGAUGUCUGUCUCCAGUGGUUGCAAAUGCAGGGAACCGUGACCCUCCAAAAGUUUAAAGUUUAAACACCCACCAUUUAUAGGGGUCGAGCUUUUCUGGGACCAUCUGGUACUUCAUUUUAUGUUAAAACUAAUAUCAGCUGUCACAGUUUUGUGUAGAAGGUGAGGCGAGAGAGAUUGAGAGUCCGUAUUUCACUGGUUAUUUUUCCUUUGCAAAUGGUUUAACUUUUCAACUGGGUGAAGAUCAAAUUUACUUUGAACUGUUCUGUGUGCCAGUGAGACUUCACCAACAGGGUGAUCAUCCGUGUGAGCAGAGAAGAAACAUUAUCGAGUAUCGCCCUCUUUUUCCUGCAAAUGAUCUUUCAAGGACAAGUGAUUUAGUGUGAUUAUGUACCGGAGAAAGCUCUGGUUUUGAUUGCUUGUCUAACUGAAUAUGUUCUUUUUCUAACUGAAUAUUGUUGAUUGUUUUACAAGUUACUCGUUUUUUAUGUCAUUUUCCAUAUGUAAUUUUCAUCUUUAAAGUCCAGACGAAGGAGAUUACCUUCUUGUUGUCUUUUAUGUUGUUUCUAUGCAGCUUCGCUAAUUGUGAGCUUCGUUCAGUGCUUGUUGUUGAUAGGAGGUGAGCUUGUCGUUGGAAAACCUGCGCAGAAUUGUAAGUUUUGGUCUUGCCUUGGCAGUUUGAUGGAGUCUAUCCUGGAAACAUUCCUCGCGAGCUUGAUCAUCCCGGUGACGUUGCAGAAUCGUGAGAAGCAUCCGGAGAAGGGUGCUUGCAAGUAAUGUGAGGCCAUGAUUAUGGACAGUGUUACACAGUUAAUAUGACUGUUCUGAUGCCUUCAUUUUUCAGGGGUGUUGAAGAUCUGAGGUUUCCCUUUAUUUUUGUAUUUGUAAUUUUGUAUAUGAAGCAGUAUAAAGAUACUUCCAUUAUCUUCUUUUAUUGAUACCAUUUCCAACGGUUAGUUUUCUAAACUCUAUGUACCGGGAUUUGGUUUUUAUGUUUCCUUUCGGAGCCCAAUAUUUGGGACUGGAUUCUGUCAA